AUGCAUGUUUCUAAGGUUUAUGACUGGUAUCAAUUAUGGGAUCUCCAACUGCAUGGGAAAAUAACCUGAAGAAACUUUGACAACACAGGUCGUCAUAGUAACUGUAGUUGUCAUUCAUUUUCCCUAUGUUU
rfam:Erinaceus europaeus unplaced genomic scaffold scaffold01258, whole genome shotgun sequence